CGCGGGCCCGGUUCAUUGUCCUUAUUCCCCUCAUCGAUGCCUUUUUCCCUCGUUCUCCCCCGCUCUCCUCCAGGCUCACUGGAAGGUCCGGAAGUGCCGCCCCCGGGAGCCGCCGGCGCCAGGUGAGAAGUAACACCUGUGGAACACAACUGCCAGUCCUGGGCUAAAAGCACUCCUGCUGUGAAACCAGAUGAAUUCAGGGUUGGAAAGCAGCAGUGCCAGAAUCUACAGGACUGACAGUCAGUGUGAAUGGUGCAACCCCCACAGGAUAUCCUUGACUUAACAUAACUUUGCUCCCAAGGUGAGUGGCACAGUGCUGGCUGGGGAUGGAAAAUGCCCAUGCUUUAGGUAGAGGGCAGAACACUGUACAGAGGGCAGUUAUUGCAAGCCACUUAGGAGAACGUAAAAUACAGGGAGCUCAGGCUUGUGCAUUGUGACUUCAACUCUUCUGGCACCCCAAUUUCCAUAAUGCAUUAAAAUUCUGUGACUCCCAACUGCUUGGUAGAAGUUGGAGGGAAAACUUAAAAUUACCCUUUAUUAAUAAGUCUGCAUGUUUUUCUGCAGCUUUUCCAGAUCUAAUGCAAAAUUUAAGUGUUGGCCAAUUUUAGCCAAAACUGACCUCUCACCUUUCUGGGGUGGUGUGAAGCUAUGGAGUUUGAGCAUCCAAGAACCAGAACUUUUCUCUGAGGUGGUAUUGUUCCUGUAAAAAGACUUUUAAAGUUUAUUGCAUUCUCUUUCCUCCUGCUGUGCUUGGUGUACCCAGUCUGUAACUGGUUCUGUGCUAGAUGCCCCGCAAGCAGCUUGCUGUAGUUAACAAAAAACCCCACAGAAAUAAAUGCUUUUUGGGAUGGGAAGUUCAGCUUAGGCAGAGUGAAAAUGGAGCCAUUGGUGAGUGUUCCAGGCAGUGAGCCACUGUUUGUCAGUGCUGACAGUGUCACCUCGGAGUGUGUGCCCAGCCAGGGCAGAAGAGCAGAGCAGCUGGGGAGCUAAAGUCCUGCAGAGAGUGAAGAACUGCACAGAGGAAGCGUGGGGCUCCUAGGAAGAGGUAGUAGGUUGCAUAGUUUUAGGGCAGGGAUUUUGCUCACAAGGAGGUAACUAUACAACCUGCUGCCUUUCUUAGGGCUUUGUUAUAACACCAGGACCUUUUGGGCUCCAGCCUGCAAACCUCUGCAGCUUUGGGACAUGGAGAGAAAGCACAAGGUAUUUCUAAGUGUGCUGAGGCUUAAUGAAAACUGUGUCUUGGCCGAUUUGGUCUGCAGUGGAAGUGCAGGAAUGCUGGCUGGAAUGCAGCGUGGUGACAUUGGGGACACUGGGCUGUGGUGAGUAAGAGGCUGUGCUGGGAAGGCAGCUCCUUCCAGAGUAAGCUGGAGGCCCUGAGGUUAGGGUGGAGGUGGUGUGAGCUUCUGAACGUCAAGGUACUGGUACUGUGUGCUCACAGGGAGCUGAAAUACACCUUCCUUUGGCAUGGUGCAUUUCAAGUGGAAAAACUGCAGCUUUCCUUCCCCAAAAGUAUCAGAUUCCAGCUCCCCUGAAAGCUGGUGCUUUCUCAGCAGGCAUGGGCACUCAGGGUGAAACAAGCUCUCAGUGGUGCAUUAUUUACCGUGCUGCAGGAGGGAAGUUUCCAGUUAAAAAUGGUGGUGUGGUUUCUCAUGGAAUUGUUAAAAAUCAGUCCAUGCUUUUUGAUGUAAUUGCAGUGCACCACAGCAAUAGUUCUGGUAGGGCUCUGGCUGGGCACUGUUCUUUGGGAUACUGUGAUGUCAAUUCUGAGCACCUUGCAGCAUUAAUGUACUGGGCUCACACCAGCCACUCUUUAAAUUGCAAAUCAGACACAGUCCUAGUUUAUAAACAUGUUGAGUAUUGCUUAUGUUGAACAUUUUGUGUGAAUUUAACUGUACUUUUUUGAUUUAGUUAAUAAAAUACAGCAUUUUGUGCAA